rnacentral:rRNA from 1 species
GAUGAACGCUGGCGGCAUGCCUAACACAUGCAAGUCGAACGGAGAUUCCGGACGGACGUUUUCGGAUGGAAGCCUGUAAUUCUUAGUGGCGGACGGGUGAGUAACGCGUGGGCAACCUGCCCUAUACAGGGGGAUAGCAGCUGGAAACGGCUGGUAAGACCGCAUAAGUCGGUUAAAUCGCAUGAUUUGAUCGGGAAAUGAGCAAUCAGGUAUAGGAUGGGCCCGCGUCCGAUUAGCCAGUUGGCAGGGUAAAAGCCUACCAAAGCGACGAUCGGUAGCCGGACUGAGAGGUCGGACGGCCACAUUGGGACUGAGACACGGCCCAAACUCCUACGGGAGGCAGCAGUGGGGGAUAUUGCACAAUGGAGGAAACUCUGAUGCAGCGACGCCGCGUGAGUGAAGAAGUAUUUCGGUAUGUAAAGCUCUAUCAGCAGGGAAGAUGAUGACGGUACCUGACGAAGAAGCCCCGGCUAACUACGUG